ACGCUAUAACAUAUAUUAACAAUUGUAAAGAAAUUAUGGACCUUUAAUUUGGAAAAACCAAUAGUAAGAGUUGGUCUUUGUGUCCCAAACUGAAAGUGGGAUAAACUUAGAGGAAGUUUGAAAAAGCGUCCAAUCCGUCAAAGAAAUAGUGGUUUUCAGUCUAACGUUGAUUGGGAUCUCAGAGAGACUGUAAUGGAUUCUAAUGACAUCGGUCAAAAUUUCUAAUACAAGGGAAGAGGUGCAAUUCACGUACAAGCAAAGGUGGAGGCUGUGUAUAUGUAGGGAUACCGUCCCAAGAAAAGAAUUCAGUUCUAUGGUUUGUAAGGCAAAAAGGUUGGAUCUUGUGGGGGUUUUGAUCUGAUCAAGAAAGGGAAGAAAAAGACGUAGAGUGAAAGAAUCCCAGAAAAAAAGGGUUUGAGCAUUGGAGAAGCAGCUGAAAGCUGUGAAGCUUUUGCUUUACUGGGUUUUGGUGAUUUUAGCUUCCCCAAGUUGGUUGAGGAGGUUUUGAAGUUUAGUCGGCGUGAAAUCAAAGGAAUCUGAGUUUAGUUGGGGUGGUUUUGUUUAGAGGCAGAGAUUGAAAAGGGGAUUUGCAGUUCAAGUUGAUACGUGUAACGUGAGUGACAUUGAGGUGGGGGUUCAAUGCUCCAAACUCAUACCAUGUUGCUUGAAUUCACAUACGAAGGCAGCGGUUCUCGAAGCUCCUGACAUU